UAUACACACCCCUCUUUAGCUGGCCCUAGGGCAAGAGAGGUUGGAAAGCAGGCUAAAGAGGAGAGCCCAACCGCCUGUGCAUGCACGUUUUUUUCCUUCAUCCUCUUGCUUGGGGGUGGAAUUUGCUUUGGGCUCAUACUUUAGUUACUGUGAAAGCUGUCAACCACAAGAUUCCGUCACAAUUCUAAGCAGGCCAUGCAGGUAGCCCUGAGCCUUGCUGGGGAGUAGCAGAAUUGUGGCUGCCCGGCAUGCCUCCCCUCGUCUCUCCACACCCCUACUCUGCUCACCUCCUUCCUCCUUCCAACCCUCUUUCCUUUCCAGCUCCAGAAGGUUUGGGAAGUCAACAACCAGGGAUUACAACUGGAAGCUACUUGUGUGACUGGACCCAACCAAGUCCCUAGAGGAAGCUGCUUAUGAAAAAACACAGCUUCUGCAGUUGGUUUAUGCCUGGGUAACAACCAACCCACAAAAAUGCAAAAGGAUGUUCCUCUGCCCCUCACUCCACCCCCAAGCUUGCUGAACAGCCAGCAGCCUCCCUCCCCACGACGAGACUCCGGAAAGGAUGACAAUCUGGUCACGGAUCCAGGGAGGGAACGAAAGCGGCUGGGCUGUCGGUGGCUCACGCUGCUGUCCGCUCUGCUCGGCUCGGGAUCCCGCAGCUUGCGGCCAGGCUGCGGCGUCCAGCACAUCGGCGGGCCGGUGCCGGGCCACGAAGCACGCGUCGUCCCCGUGGCCCGCGCCCUUCUUGAGGAGGCCCUUACGGAAGUCCGUGCCGACGCCGCAGCCCGACGUCACCAGCCCGAAGUCGCCGCCGCCACCGCCACCGGCCCUGGGUCUGCGACAGGCCGCCGAGCAUGGCGCGGGCCACCAGCCGCCCGUCCCAGAGUACCGAGGACAUCGCCGCCGCCGCCCCCUCCGAGGAGGCGAGGGGCCGAGCCGCAGCCGCACGCACCGGAGCCAGGGCGAGUCACCAGUGCCAAGUGUGAGAAACUGCCAGAGGAGCAGGACAAAGACGACCACAUGGACCGUGGAUCCUCCAACAGAGAAGGGGCUGUAGGGGAAGCUGAGUCGAGCACCCUGCGGACUUUGGUUAACAGCCACGUACGGUGUGUCAACAUUGCUUCCUUAAUUGUAGAAUAUAUCCUAGAGUGAUUCUGACCAGGGCUCCAAGACUAGGAAAAGGUACUUUACUCACCAUGAUGGCCAUCACUGGGGGAACAACUGAAAUGAACGCUAGGACAGCUAUACGCUGCAGUGGCAGCCAUCUUCCAGAGUGAGAUACGUGUGUGCGUGCUGGACGUGUCAACAUGUCCAAGAUAAGCCAGCACAAAAUGACGACCCAUGGAUUAGAACCAACUAACUGGACCAGGCAGUUGAGAAAACCACCCAGUGUCUCCUGGCUGCCACAACUGAGUACCAGGUGCAGAGUGGCUAAUA